UAUUAUCAAUGCAGUUAUAUUUUUAUUAAUUAUAACUAAGAAAAAAUAAAUUUUUGAGAAAUUGGUGCUUGGUACAGGUUUCUAAGACUGAUUCCCAAAGUUUCUUACACAGAAUUUUUAAAGGAUUCAUUAGUAAAUAAUAAAAUUAAAUUUGCAUUUGAUAUUUGAUCAUUCCCUCCUUUAAGUAAGGGAUAACACCCUAUCUCUUUCAUGUAUCCUACAGCAACCAUCAGAGUCCUGAGUGCACAAGUGUUAAGGAAGUUUUCAAAUGUGUUGAAUUGAUAUUUUAGGUGUGUCAAUAAAGUGUAUGGUUUGAUAUAUCUGUACCCCCACCAACCUAUCUCAAAGUACCUCCAGGUGUUGAAACUCCCAGGACAAUUUUCACACCCAACUCCCACUCUCAGCCUCUAAGUUAUAAUUUAUGUAACAUAGACACCCAGUCCAGCUCACAGAAUCUUCAGCUAUUUGUUGUUUUUUAUAAUGUCUGCCAGUACCCUGUAAGCAGGCUGUGUGAUGUCCGAGACUGUGUGAUGCACUUUUCUCCACAGCUUAUAUAUGCUAAGCCCCUUUACCACGCUAUGAUGUCUUCUCUAAUCCCUUCCGAAUUCUGUCCUUGUUCCUCAUCACCAUGACAACACACAUCAUAUAAAGAGAGCCUUCAUUAACAGAGUCAAAAGAAGCUUCUAAUACAGACCAUUUCUUAAAAAGUGAGACAGAAGAGAAAUGAUAAUAAGAUGAAAAUAUACCCAGACACAGAUCAUGACAUUUACCAGUGCCACUCUCAUCCUUGGAAGUCUAGAAAAUUCAGAAACUGCUCACCUGAAUUUCAAAUCCAAAU